GCGGGAGUGAUGCAACAGGCAGACAUCGCUCGCCUAAAACGAGUGUCUUGGGAGUUCGAUUCUCCUCUCCCGCA
rnacentral:tRNA from 1 species